rnacentral:rRNA from 1 species
CGUUCCCGGGUCUUGUACACACCGCCCGUCACACCAUGGGAGCGGGAUGUACCAGAAGUAGGUAGGCUAACCGCAAGGGGGCCGCUUACCACGGUGCGUUUCGUGACCGGGGUG